UACGUAGGGGGCAAGCGUUGUCCGGAUUUAUUGGGCGUAAAGAGCGUGUAGGCGGUUAUACAGGUCCGCUGUGAAAACUGGAGGCUUAACCUCCAGACGUCGGUGGAAACCGUAUGACUAGAGUCCGGAAGAGGAGAGUGGAAUUCCUGGUGUAGCGGUGAAAUGCGCAGAUAUCAGGAAGAACACCCGUGGCUAAAGCGGCUCUCUAGUACGGUACUGACGCUGAGACGCGAAAGCGUGGGGAGCGAACAGG
rnacentral:rRNA from 1 species